rnacentral:rRNA from 1 species
GAUGAACGCUAGCGGCAGGCCUAAUACAUGCAAGUCGUACGGCAACACAGUUGCGAGCAAUCGCAACCGGUGGCGAGUGGCGCACGGGUGAGUAACGCGUAUGUAACCUACCCUUCUCCGGGACAUAACUCCGCGAAAGCGGUGCUAAUAUCCCAUACCAACUCAUCAAGACAUCUUCUUGAGUUGAAAGCAGCAAUGCGGUGAAGGAUGGGCAUGCGUCCCAUUAGCUGGUUGGUGAGGUAAUGGCCCACCAAGGCUACGAUGGGUAGGGGUUCUGAGAGGAAGCCCCCACACUGGUACUGAGACACGGACCAGACUCCUACGGGAGCAGCAGUAAGGAAUAUUGGGCAAUGGUCGAAAGACUGACCCAGCCAUGCCGCGUGCAGGAUGGAACGGCCCUAUGGGUUGUAAACUGCUUUUAGCCGGAAUAAACCACCGUUUUAGAACGGCCCGAAGGUACCGCUGAAUAAGCAUCGGCUAACUCCGUGCCAGCAC